CUGAGGAACGAAAGCAUGGGUAGCGAAGAGGAUUAGAUACCCUCGUAGUCCAUGCCGUAAACGAUGUGUGUUAGACGUUGGAAAUUUAUUUUCAGUGUCGCAGGGAAACCGAUAAACACACCGCCUGGGGAGUACGACCGCAAGGUUAAAACUCAAAUGAAUUGACGGGGACCCGCACAAGUAGUGGAGCAUGUGGUUUAAUUCGAAGAUACGCGCAGAACCUUGCCAACACUUGACAUGUUCGUCGCGACUCUAAGAGAUUAGAGUUUUCGGUUCGGCCGGACGAAACACAGGUGCUGCAUGGCUGUCGUCAGCUCGUGUCGUGAGAUGUUGGGUUAAGUCCCGCAACGAGCGCAACCCUCACUUUUAGUUGCCAUCAUUAAGUUGGGCACUCUGAAAGAACUGCCAGUGAUAAGCUGGAGGAAGGUGGGGAUGACGUCAAGUCCUCAUGGCCCUUACGUGUUGGGCUACACACGUGCUACAAUGGUAUCUACAACAGGAAGCAAAACUGCGAAGUUAAGCAAAUCCCUAAAAGAUACCUCAGUUCGGAUUGCACUCUGCAACUCGAGUGCAUGAAGCUGGAAUUACUAGUAAUCGUGGAUCAGCGUGCCACGGUGAAUGCGUUCCCGGGUCUUGUACACACCGCCCGUCACACCAUGGGAGUUGGUUCUACCUUAAGGCAAGGCUUUAACCCUUGACCCCCGGUAUAGUCAACGACUGGGGUGAAGUCGCCGCAAGGUAGACGUAGGGGAACCUGCGGCUGGAUUACCUCCUUUCUAAGGAUGAAUAAAAGUAAAAUUUUAUUCUAAAUAAUAUACAUCGGUAAUGUUGACCGUCCUCAUUUCUCUUCUUAAAGUAGUGUUUCUCUUGCAUGGGGGCCGGUAGCUCAGUUGGUUAGAGCACACCCUUGAUAAGGGUGGGGUCGAAAGUUCGAGUCUUUCUCGCCCACCAAUAUAAGAUCAUGGGGGAUUAGCUCAGCUGGGAGAGCGCCUGAUUUGCAUUCAGGAGGUCAGCGGUUCGAUCCCGCUAUCCUCCACCAAAAACACGUAGCUAUAAAAAUUGUAAAUAAAAUAAUAAUUAAUAUCAAUAUCUAUAUCCGAACAUUAGUAAUGUUAUUAGCUAAUGUUCAAAAUAAAAAUUUGAUUCAACACAGAAUUUUUUUCUGUGCAUAAAUCAAGCGUUUAAGGGCGUGUAGUGGAUGCCUUGGCACUGAAAGCCGAUGAAGGACGUGAUAUACUGCGAUAAGUUUCGGGGAGCUGUAUGUAAGUUUUGAUCCGAAAAUUU
rnacentral:sRNA from 1 species